rnacentral:rRNA from 1 species
CCUACGGGUGGCAGCAGUGGGGAAUAUUGCACAAUGGGGGAAACCCUGAUGCAGCGACGCCGCGUGAGUGAAGAAGUAUUUCGGGAUGUAAAGCUCUGUCAGCAGGGAAGAAAAUGACGGUAACUGACCAAGAAGCCACGGCUAACUCCGUGCCAGCAGCCGCGGUAAUACGUAGGGGGCAAGCGUUAGCCGGAUUUACUGGGUGGAAAGGGAGCGUAGACGGCAGGGCAAGUCUGGAGUGAAAGGCGGGGGCUCAACCCCCGGACUGCUCUGGAAACUGCCAGGCUGGAGUACAGGAGAGGUAAGUGGAAUUCCUAGUGUAGCGGUGAAAUGCGUAGAUAUUAGGAGGAACACCAGUGGCGAAGGCGGCUUACUGGACUGUAACUGACGUUGAGGCGCGAAAGCGUGGGGAGCAAACAGGAUUAGAUACCCGGGUAGUC